rnacentral:rRNA from 1 species
UACGUAGGAUGCAAGCGUUGUUCGGAAUUACUGGGCGUAAAGAGUACGUAGGCGGUUUGAUAAGUCUGCUAUUAAAGACUGGAGCUUAACUCCAGGACUGUAGUGGAAACUGUCAGACUAGAGGACAAUAGAGGAAGUCGGAAUUCUCAGUGUAGCGGUGAAAUGCGUAGAUAUUGGGAAGGACACCAGUGGCGAAAGCGGACUUCUGGGUUGUUACUGACGCUGAGGUACGAAAGCGUGGGGAGCAAACGGG